CUUGAAAACACAAAAACACGCUAUGAAGCGCUGUCAAGAGCAUGCCAAACCAACAGGUGCCGAUAUAACCCUAACCGUAAAGCCAUGUUGGCCAAUUACAGACUCGCCUCAUGUAAACAAAGGAGAUAGUGGCACAAAAUCUGAUGUCAAA